GGAGUUAGCCGGUGCUUCUUCUGUGAGUGAUGUCCUUCCUGCCGGCUAUUAACCCGCAGGCCUUCUUCCUCACUGAAAGUGCUUUACAACCCGAAGGCCUUCUUCACACACGCGGCAUGGCUGGAUCAGGGUUGCCCCCAUUGUCCAAUAUUCCCCACUGCUGCCUCCCGUAGUAGUCUGGGCCGUGUCUCAGUCCCAGUGUGGCUGAUCAUCCUCUCAGACCAGCUACGUAUCGUCGCCUUGGUGAGCCGUUACCUCACCAACCAGCUAAUCCGACAUAGGCUCAUCCGAUAGCGCGAGGCCCGAAGGUCCCCCGCUUUCCCCCGUAGGGCGUAUGCGGUAUUAGCCUGGGUUUCCCCAGGUUAUCCCCCACUACCGGGCAGAUUCCUAUGCAUUACUCACCCGUCCGCCGCUCGCCACCAGGGAGCAAGCUCCCCGUGCUGCCGCUCGACUUGCAUGUGUUAGGCCUGCCGCCAGCGUUCAAUCUGAGCCAUGAUCAAACUCUGA
rnacentral:rRNA from 1 species